CGGGGCGUAGCGCAGAUGGUAGCGCGCAUGGUUCGGGACCAUGAGGCCGCGAGUUCAAGUCUCGCCGCUCCGACCA
rnacentral:tRNA from 1 species